GGUGGCUUAGCGGUUUGAGCGUCUACCUUAUAUGCGGGAGAUCGCGGAUUCGAGCUCCGAGCCAUACCA